AAGUCGUAACAAGGUCUCCGUAGGUGAACCUGCGGGGGGAUCAUUACAAGUGACCCCCGGCUCCGGCCGGGGAUGUUCAUAACCCUUUGUUGUCCGACUCUGUUGCCUCCGGGGCGACCCUGCCUUUUCACGGGCGGGGGCCCCGGGUGGACACAUCAAAACUCUUGCGUAACUUUGCAGUCUGAGUAAAUUUAAUUAAUAAAUUAAAA
rnacentral:misc_RNA from 1 species